rnacentral:rRNA from 1 species
AUUGAACGCUGGCGGAAUGCUUUACACAUGCAAGUCGAACGGCAGCACGGGGGCAGCCCUGGUGGCGAGUGGCGAACGGGUGAGUAAUACAUCGGAACGUGCCCGGUCGUGGGGGAUAACGUAGCGAAAGUUACGCUAAUACCGCAUACGAUCUGAGGAUGAAAGCGGGGGACUUUCGGGCCUCGGGCGACCGGAGGGGCGAUGUCAGAUUAGGGAGUUGGUGGGGUAAAGGCCUACCAAGCCGACGAUCUGUAGCUGGUCUGAGAGGACGACCAGCCACACUGGGACUGAGACACGGCCCAGACUCCUACGGGAGGCAGCAGUGGGGAAUUUUGGACAAUGGGCGCAAGCCUGAUCCAGCCAUUCCGCGUGCAGGACGAAGGCCUUCGGGUUGUAAACUGCUUUUGUACGGAACGAAAAGGCUCUGGCUAAUACCUGGGGCUCAUGACGGUACCGUAAGAAUAAGCACCGGCUAACUACGUG